CCUACGGGUGGCAGCAGUGAGGAAUAUUGGUCAAUGGACGAGAGUCUGAACCAGCCAAGCAGCGUGAAGGAUGACUGUCCUAUGGGUUGUAAACUUCUUUUAUAAAGGAAUAAAAUGAGGCACGUGUGCCUUAUUGCAUGUACUUUAUGAAUAAGGAUCGGCUAACUCCGUGCCAGCAGCCGCGGUAAUACGGAGGAUCCGAGCGUUAUCCGGAUUUAUUGGGUUUAAAGGGUGCGUAGAUGGGUUGUUAAGUCAGUCGUUAAAGCUUGCGGCUCAACCGUAAGAGUGCAAUUGAUACUGGCAGUCUUGAGUACAGGUGAGGUAGGCGGAAUUCGUAGUGUAGCGGUGAAAUGCUUAGAUAUCACGAAGAACCCCGAUUGCGAAGGCAGCUUACUAGACUGUAACUGACGUUGAGGCUCGAAAGUGUGGGUAUCAAACAGGAUUAGAUACCCCAGUAGUC
rnacentral:rRNA from 1 species